GAUGAACGCUGGCGGCGUGCCUAAUACAUGCAAGUCGAGCGAACAGAUAAGGAGCUUGCUCCUUUGACGUUAGCGGCGGACGGGUGAGUAACACGUGGGUAACCUACCUAUAAGACUGGCAUAACUCCGGGAAACCGGGGCUAAUGCCGGAUAACAUUUAGAACCGCAUGGUUCUAAAGUGAAAGAUGGUUUUGCUUUCACUUAUAGAUGGACCCGCGCCGUAUUAGCUAGUUGGUAAGGUAACGGCUUAUCAAGGCAACGAUACGUAGCCGACCCUAGAGGGAGAUCGGCCACACUGGAACUGAGACACGUUACAGACUCCUACGGGGGGCAGAGGUAGGGAAUCUUCCGCAGUGGGCGAAAGCCUGACGGAACAACGCCGCGUGAGUGAUGAAGGUCUUCGGAUCGUAAAACUCUGUUAUUAGGGAAGAACAAAUGUGUAAGUAACUGUGCACGUCGUGACGGUACCUAAUCAGAAAGCCACGGCUAACUACGUG
rnacentral:rRNA from 1 species